rfam:Apaloderma vittatum contig23487, whole genome shotgun sequence.
GGCCGGUUAGCUCUGUCAGUUGAGCAAGGCCCUAACAAUGCUAAGGUCGCGGGUUCGAUCCCCGUUCCGUCCC